CAGCUAGUUGGCGAGGUAACGGCUCACCAAGGCAACGACGGGUAGCUGGUCUGAGAGGAUGGCCAGCCACAUUGGGACUGAGAUACGGCCCAGACUCCUACGGGAGGCAGCAGUGGGGAAUCUUGCGCAAUGGCCUAACGGCUGACGCAGCGACGCCGCGUGUGGGAUGAAGCUCUUCGGAGUGUAAACCACUGUUGCCCGGGACGAAUAGCCCGAUUAAUCGAGCCUGACAGUACCGGGUGAGGAAGCACCGGCUAACUCCGUGCCAGCAGCCGCGGUAAUACGGGGGGUGCGAGCGUUGUCCGGAAUCACUGGGCGUAAAGGGCGCGUAGGUGGUUUGAUAAGGGUGUGGUGAAAGUCCGGGGCUCAACCCCGGAUCUGCCGUGCCGACUGUCAAACUCGAGGACUGUAGAGGCAGACGGAAUUCCGGGUGUAGCGGUGGAAUGCGUAGAGAUCCGGAGGAAGACCGGUGGCGAAGGCGGUCUGCUGGGCAGUUUCUGACACUGAUGCGCGACAGCGUGGGGAGCAAACAGGAUUAGAUACCCUGGUAGUCCACGCCGUAAACGAUGGGUACUAGGUGCCUGGGGGAGCGACCCUC
rnacentral:rRNA from 1 species